rnacentral:tRNA from 1 species
GGGCGAGUGACAGAGCGGCCAUGUGACCGACUGCAGAUCGGUUUUAAGGGGGUUCAACUCCCUCCUCGCCCA